GAUUCCGAUGUUUACGUCAUUGUAUUUUCAUAUAGUAUAUAUAUACUAUAUGAAAAUACAAUGACGUAAACAUCGGAAUC